GACGAACCGUCCUAACGUUGUUCGGAAUCACUGGGCUUAAAGGGCGCGUAGGCGGGUCGCCAAGUCUGGGGUGAAAUCUUUCGGCUUAACCGGAAAAUAGCCUCAGAUACUGGCGAUCUCGAGGGAGGUAGGGGCAUGUGGAACUUCCGGUGGAGCGGUGAAAUGCGUUGAUAUCGGAAGGAACGCCGGUGGCGAAAGCGACGUGCUGGACCUCUACUGACGCUGAGGCGCGAAAGCCAGGGGAGCAAACGGG
rnacentral:rRNA from 1 species